ensembl:lncRNA
CUCCUAGUCUAAAAGAAAACAAUAAAUCACAAAUGGUUUCCUGAGAAGAACGUGCCCCACUGCUCAGUUAAAAAGGUGCCCAGAGCACAGGGAAGGUCAGGUAUAAUACCUCUUUCAGUCCCAAUCCCAUCGAAGAUAAAAUGUAUGUGGCCUGGGUGCAAGAUCACGUCAUUAUGCCACAUCUGUCAUGUGGAGUGUGUGAGCAGCAUGUACCAUAUUAUGCAAGGCUGCAUUAUGAAGACUAGACUACGUGGUGGGAGUUGUGCUGAUAGCAAGUGGGGGAAGGUUGUGCUGCCCCUUUACUCAGUACCGGUAGGUUUGGAGUGCUGUGACCAUUUCUGGGCUCCCCAGUGCAAGACAGAUGUAGACAUGCUGGAUUGAGUCUAAUAAAUGGAUGUGAA